GCCAAUAUGGUGUAGUGGUUUGAGCUUUGCACUAGGAUUCUGGAGACCAGGGUUCAAAUCCCUGUUCAGAUG
rnacentral:tRNA from 1 species